rnacentral:rRNA from 1 species
UACGAAGGGGGCUAGCGUUGUUCGGAAUUACUGGGCGUAAAGCGCACGUAGGCGGAUAUUUAAAGUCAGGGGUGAAAUCCCAGAGCUCAACUCUGGAACUGCCUUUGAUACUGGGUAUCUUGAGUAUGGAAGAGGUAAGUGGAAUUGCGAGUGUAGAGGUGAAAUUCGUAGAUAUUCGCAGGAACACCAGUGGCGAAGGCGGCUUACUGGUCCAUAACUGACGCUGAGGUGCGAAAGCGUUGGGGAGCAAACAGG